rnacentral:rRNA from 1 species
CCUAACACAUGCAAGUCGAACGGAGUUGAAAGGAGCUUGCUUUUUUCAACUCAGUGGCGGACGGGUGAGUAACGCGUGAGUAACCUGCCUUUCAGAGGGGGAUAACGUUCUGAAAAGAACGCUAAUACCGCAUAAGAUUGUAGUUUCGCAUGGAGCAGCAAUCAAAGGAGCAAUCCGCUGAAAGAUGGACUCGCGUCCGAUUAGAUAGUUGGCGGGGUAACGGCCCACCAAGUCGACGAUCGGUAGCCGGACUGAGAGGUUGAUCGGCCACAUUGGGACUGAGACACGGCCCAGACUCCUACGGGAGGCAGCAGUGAGGGAUAUUGGGCAAUGGGGGAAACCCUGACCCAGCAACGCCGCGUGAGGGAUGACGGUUUUCGGAUUGUAAACCUCUGUCCUCUGUGAAGAUAGUGACGGUAGCAGAGGAGGAAGCUCCGGCUAACUACGUGCCAGCAGCCGCGGUAAUACGUAGGGAGCAAGCGUUGUCCGGAUUUACUGGGUGUAAAGGGUGCGUAGGCGGAUUGGCAAGUCAGAAGUGAAAUCCAUGGGCUUAACCCAUGAACUGCUUUUGAAACUGUUAGUCUUGAGUGAAGUAGAGGUAGGCGGAAUUCCCGGUGUAGCGGUGAAAUGCGUAGAGAUCGGGAGGAACACCAGUGGCGAAGGCGGCCUACUGGGCUUUAACUGACGCUGAGGCACG